rnacentral:rRNA from 1 species
UGCAAGUCGAGCGAUGAAAUUUUAACAGAUCCUUUCGGGGAGAAGAUAAGAUGGAUUAGCGGCGGACGGGUGAGUAACACGUGAGUAACCUGCCUUUGACACAGGGAUAGCCUCGGGAAACCGGGAUUAAUACCAGAUAACAUUAUCAGAUCGCAUGAGAAGAUAAUCAAAGCUGAGGCGGUCAAAGAUGGACUCGCGUCCCAUUAGCUAGUUGGUAGAGUAAUAGCCUACCAAGGCAACGAUGGGUAGCCGGCCUGAGAGGGUGAACGGCCACAUUGGAACUGAGAAACGGUCCAAACUCCUACGGGAGGCAGCAGUGGGGAAUAUUGCACAAUGGGGGAAACCCUGAUGCAGCGACGCCGCGUGAGCGAAGAAGGUUUUCGAAUCGUAAAGCUUUGUCCUAUGGGAAGAUAAUGACGGUACCAUAGGAGGAAGCCCCGGCUAACUACGUGCCAGCAGCCGCGGUAAUACGUAGGGGGCAAGCGUUGUCCGGAAUCACUGGGCGUAAAGGGUUCGCAGGCGGAAAUGCAAGUCAGUUGUGAAAGGCAGAGGCUCAACCUCUGUAAGCAAUUGAAACUGUAUUUCUUGAGAUGUGGAGAGGCAAGUGGAAUUCCUAGUGUAGCGGUGAAAUGCGUAGAUAUUAGGAAGAAUACCGGUGGCGAAGGCGACUUGCUGGACACAAACUGACGCUGAGGAACGAAAGCGUGGGUAGCAAACAGGAUUAGAUACCCUGGUAGUCCACGCCGUAAACGAUGAGUGCUAGGUGUCGGGGGAGACCUCGGUGCCGCAGUAAACACAA